AAGGCUCCAUAGCUCAGUGGUUAGAGCACUGGUCUUGUAAACCAGGGGUCGCGAGUUCAAUUCUCGCGACCCCUGGCCUUG